rnacentral:rRNA from 1 species
CGGUGAAUACGUUCCCGGGCCUUGUACACACCCGCCCCGUCAAGCCAUGAAAAGCUGGGGAGUAUCUAAAGUCGGUUGCCGUAAGGGCGCCGCCUAGGGGUAAAAACCGGUGAUUGGGGCU